UACGUAGGGUGCGAGCGUUGUCCGGAAUUAUUGGGCGUAAAGAGCUCGUAGGCGGUCUGUCGCGUCUGCUGUGAAAUCCCGAGGCUCAACCUCGGGCUUGCAGUGGGUACGGGCAGGCUAGAGUGCGGUAGGGGAGAAUGGAACUCCUGGUGUAGCGGUGGAAUGCGCAGAUAUCAGGAGGAACACCGGUGGCGAAGGCGGGUCUCUGGGCCGUAACUGACGCUGAGGAGCGAAAGCGUGGGGAGCGAACAGG
rnacentral:rRNA from 1 species